GUGGAAUCCCAUGAUCUCAUGGAGCCACUAAAAAAAAACACUUCUCCCAGCCAUGCCUCUUUUUCAUUACCCAGCCCAGCUGAUCGCACCAGAGAGGCACAGUGCAAGAACCUGGAUGUCUUUUAAACUUGCUGAAAAGGAAUCUGAGCCAGCAGGUCCUUUAGGAGAGAAGGUGUCGCUAAUCACGUUGAGUGAAGCAGCUUUCCCCCUGGAUUCCUGAGAAUUCUCCUCCCAACACGCAUCUGUCGAUGCUCAGAUGCACAUCUCAAAUGGCGUUCAGUCUGAACGGACCAUUAGGUGUGCAUGUUCAAACAUGAACAGCAUGCUAAGACAUUCCUCCUGGCUCUGAAUGGCAGGUUCUGACUGGGAGCGGUGUAUUUCUGCAAACAACAGUAGGAGGAGGCAUAGUGACCGUUUUAACAAAUACGUACCUUCUGCAGCUUAAAACAUUAUUUUACUAAAAUAAUGGUGGUUAAUUAAAACAUUAACACCAAUUGUUUAAAACGAUUACUGAUGUCUAAUUCAGCAAAUCUUUCUUUAAAUAUUGUUUUAUUAAAAUAAUAUUUUAGUUACCAUUCU